rnacentral:rRNA from 1 species
GAUCCUGGCUCAAGAUGAACGCUAGCUACAGGCUUAACACAUGCAAGUCGAGGGGCAGCAUGAACUUAGCUUGCUAAGUUUGAUGGCGACCGGCGCACGGGUGAGUAACACGUAUCCAACCUUCCGUUUACUCAGGGAUAGCCUUUCGAAAGAAAGAUUAAUACCCGAUAGUAUGGUGAGAUUGCAUGAUAGCACCAUUAAAGAUUUAUUGGUAAACGAUGGGGAUGCGUUCCAUUAGGUAG